GCCUACAGCCAUACCGUCCUACAAGAGCCUUGUCUUGUCUGAUUUUAGUAGCUAAACAGGGCCCGACUUGGUCAGUAUUUUGAAGGGAGCAGCAAUACCAGUUUCUUUAGGCA
rnacentral:rRNA from 12 species